CGGCGAUGCAAGACCCGUGAUCCUGUGGCAUCCACCAACCUGCAUCCCUAUGCACCAUCUGCCGGUCGGCGAUCCUAGUUGCCAGCCAGCCCGCCCCCAUCUGCUCCAUCUACCGCCGCUAGGGAAGUCAUCCAGGUGUGGCCGCCGAGGAAAUCAGGGGCGGCAGCACUGACCGGAGACAUGAGACGCGCGAUCCCGUGGCAACGCGCGGCGUGAGAUCAUCUGCUGGUCGCCGAUUCUCGCUACCGCCCAGCCCGCCUCCAUCGCCAUCCUGCGGAGCCGCUGAACGUUUCGGCGCCAUCAAGCUGCGCCGCCGCCUAGGCGACUCUAUGGCUCAAUGAGCAGCCUGUGGCGCCACGGGCAAGGUUUGUGUUUCCCGCAGCACAUCACCGCACGGCGACGUGACGCCUCCCUUGCGAGGCCAUGGCAUCUCAGCUCAACUGUUCGUCGCCAAGCAGCGUUGCCACCGGAUGUUCCUGUAUUUUGGAGUUAAACAUUGUGAUGUCUUGUAGAUCUAUACUGAUUUGAUACAAUUGUUUACUUGGACAUGUGCUAGAUGCGGUGACAUGAUCGAGGUAAACCUUCUCUACUGCUGAUGUGCUUUCUGAUUUUUGUUAAAUCUUUGUCCUGCUUCAUGCAAUUUUGGGAAUGGAUGAUGAAAUCUUAUUGGAUGAUCCUGGGGUUCAAGCUGAUGGAGAUAAUUUUAGAUAUCGAGAAUUGUUUGCAUGUUCUUCUGUACUUGCAUUCGUUGUACCUUAAUCUCCUCAUCUUAUAGUAUACUUUUAGCUGAUAGUAUUUUGAUGAACAUGCAGGCAUAUGUUGGUUUUGCUAGUGAUAUCAACUAUGUCAUUGUUGUGUUUAGAGGAACUCAACAGAAUAGGUAAUUAGCAUAUACUAUUUUGCUUAGUUUUAGAAAAGCUAUUCUCGUUUCAAUCUAGAAAUUUCCGUCACUUAAAAUUUACACGAAGUAGAUCAAUUAUGUACUACUCCUAUUUCAUUUGCGUGUAUCUUUCUGUUAGAAUUACUUGACCAUAGUUGACAACUUUGCAUAUCUGUGUGCAAUGUGUCAAAUGUACUCUAUAACCCCAACUAUACCGAUCCCCCAAUUUCUCAGCAUCCAGAAUUGGAUAGAGGACUUGUUAUAGGAACAACUUGAUCUUGAUUACCCUAGCAUGCCUAAAGCAAUGGUGAGUGUAUCUGAAGCAUUAUAAUUAAACUGCAUCUGUGGGAAACCCAAUUCAUACUAGUACUCUACCUUGUUAUAGGUGCACUGAGGGUUUUACUCUGCUUAUCAUAACACAACUUACGUGAUGGAGUAGUCAGUGGUAUUCAAAACACUUGAAAUUUAUAUGGAGAUGUUCCAAUCAUAAUCACACGGCAUUCAAUGGGUGGACCUAUGGCUUCAUUUUGCUCACUUGAUCUUGUUGAAGCCUAAUUCACUCUGUAGAGCAGAUCUGCGAUGAUUCUGGUGAAGACCCGGCGUGCAGCAGAAGGCUGGAGCGCCUGCAAGAUCAUCAUGGACUACAGCAAAUUGCAGUAUCAGAUGGACUUCAACGGUAACGUUGUCUUUUGAUCAAAAGAACACUUCUACCUAAGUACCAUAAGAAAAUCUUAAUUUUAAGAGGAAUCUUAAGUUUCUACAGACCUUUAGCGUUACUAAUGAUAUGUCGAGAAAUCAUUUACUUGUACAUGGAUUGAAUAUCCAAUGUGCAUGCAAAUCCAACCUAAAAAUGUCUUGGUCAUUACAUAAUAGAACUAAAGCAAUUUUUGACACCAUAUGUUGCCAAGCAAUUACUUUA